CGGAGAGUAGCGCAGUUGGCAGCGCGCACGGUUUGGGACCGUGAGGUCCCGGGUUCGAGACCCGGCUCUCCGACAA
rnacentral:tRNA from 3 species